UAAUGGCUAUUGUUUUUCUUUUCUUGACAGCUGCUUUCAUCUCUAAUUUGUCUUAUCACUGAACAAACUGAAAAUAGGAUGGGUUAAAAGUUUUUCUGAAUAGCUCCUUUUGUACCUUGUUUCAGUUAUCACUACUCCAGCAGAAGAACUUUAAGAAUUGGAUUGAGUAGUGUUUUGUUUUGACAGCUACUAGUGUGUUUUUGUAUAAAUAUUUAUGGCUGUGUGAUUGCCAACCAUAUAUUCUCCACUAUUUGUUUCAGACAUCUAAUAUAGGUGGUCAAGGAAAUUUGAACCCUGUGCCAAAAUCUACCCUUGAAGCUUCUGAAAAUAACAAGAUAAUAAAAGAUGCCUUGUUUCCAUAAGUUGCUGGCAUGAAAUUAACAGAAGCACACCACCAAAGAAGACAUCUUUCCAAUAGUGUUGGUCAUCUCUGGUGGAAUGACAGAGAAAAAUGAGAUGGAACUGAAGUGACAGGUGGGAUAAGUAAUAUGACAAAUGUAAUUAACUUGAAGUCAUUUUCAGGUAAUUAUUCAGGACAAAAUAUUUUGAUACCUCCAUAGAAAACAGAAUGGGUAUGGUGAGUUUUUGUAUUAUAGUAGAAACCAUACCACCUUUAGACAUUCCAGUUUGUUUGUUUUAGGAAUUUAUUCUUACAUUACUUGAGUUGUGGUUUUCAUUGGUAUAAACAAUUGUACAUCCCAAAAUUCAGCAACAAAAAUGGUUGUAGUGAAAAAUCAGGCUCAAUACAAGAAAACAGCAUUUUAUUGGUAAUGACAUACUUCUCAAAUAGUGUCACAAAAUGUGCCUCUUCAUUCAUGUGACCAUGCUUGGCUAAGAUUAGCUACCCAGGCAAGUGAGGUAGCCUUUUCACUGUCUUUGUAGCCAAAAACAACAUCAAGAUCGUCAUCUGAAAGACUAGGAAAAUACGUUCAUUACAACUAGCUCACUGUCUGCUGGUACCUCCCAAGAUGUUUUCGAAAAGAUCACAUGCAUGUGACAUUUUGUUGUUCCAGGUGUUUGUGUUGAGUGAGGCUCCUCUGCCAAGUUAAUCCGUUCAUGUACUUGAAACAUUAACGUAUUUUCUACAAAAUAAAAGGUGUGGGUGAAACAAAAUAGUUUAGAAAAUUCAAGAACAUGAUGUUAAUUUCUUUUUUUGUAAUAUUUUAGGAAACACUCAUUUCACAUGUGUUAAAUGUUUUUGUUUUUUUCUUGUUGUUGAUUCACUAGAUCAGGUUCCCUGAUUCAUUAACAGUUUGCAUGGUAAACAUUAGUAUGGGAUCAUUUUAAACCAUAAGCUUUUGUCUUGUAUAUUUUGUGAAUUUUUAUAUUGUUAUCUUAACAUUGUACAUGUUUUUCAAAAGUCAAUAAAGCUUAUCCUUCCUGAU